rnacentral:rRNA from 1 species
UACGUAGGGGGCUAGCGUUGUCCGGAAUCAUUGGGCGUAAAGCGCGUGUAGGCGGCCCGGUAAGUCCGCUGUGAAAGUCGGGGGCUCAACCCUCGGAUGCCGGUGGAUACUGUCGGGCUCGAGUACGGAAGAGGCGAGUGGAAUUCCUGGUGUAGCGGUGAAAUGCGCAGAUAUCAGGAGGAACACCAAUUGCGAAGGCAGCUCGCUGGGACGUUACUGACGCUGAGAGACGAAAGCCAGGGGAGCAAACGGG